rnacentral:antisense_RNA from 1 species
GGAAACAUCUAAAGGCAAAAAUCCUUCAAAUUCAAAUUUAUCCAAUCAUUUCUUCUGCUUACUACCAUCCUAAAUCAUUUUUCUUUAGUAAGAUCUAUUAGUGGGAAGCUAUUAAGCUAUUAAUGUAUCAUAUUAAUUGUAUUCAGAUAUUAAGUGAGGAGGUAAAGUUGCAUUCACAGGCCUUGAACUUUUCCACAUCUCGAUUUUUACCCAUCAUCUCUGAAUAGUUCCCUAAGGCAGCCUUCAAAUGGUGAUGUUUCUUAUAAUCCAGAGUUCAGAAGUGGCUUCUCUUCAAUCUUUCUGUGGAAUUCUAAACCAUGUGAUAAAGGAGCUGGUGAGCCAGAUUUCCUUCUGCACCAGAGCCUGUGGAAGCGCCACAGUGGAAGCAGCAGAGACUGGAAGAGCAGGCAAGAAGCUGGGAGCUUUGCACUGAACCAGGAAGACACCACAGCUCUUAGGCAAAGACCCGGAAAGUUAGGUGCCAAGCACUGUGGAUUCUGCCCCUCAGUGUCCAGACACCCAUUUUCCUUCCCACUGUUCCUUCCCCAUGGAGAAGCCUGUGGCUGGCUGACAGCAGAGAGAGAUGCUCAACUUGGAGAAGGUGUUACCUGGGCCAGGUGGGGAAGGUUUGUUUGCAGAGCAAAGAAGUGAAGGAAGUAUUAACCCUUUGCAUGGCCUCCUGAGAAUCCGACAAGACGUAAAUAGCCAAGAAUAUCUGUGGAACUUAAUCACUGAGUUACAGUAUUUAUCACUGCAAGUGUGUUGUUCAUUGACACUAUAAAGCCAUGUGGAAUUAAGCAGCCUUGAAACACAAAAUGGAGAAAGGCUGAGAGCUGAGAAUUGUUGCCUUCAGGAAAAUACAAUCAAUGUCAAGCAAACAACCACCCCAAAAUGGUUAGCUUUAUCAGCAUUCAGGCCUACAGUGAAAGC